GAUGAACGCUGGCGGCGUGCCUAAUACAUGCAAGUCGAGCGAACAGACGAGGAGCUUGCUCCUCUGACGUUAGCGGCGGACGGGUGAGUAACACGUGGAUAACCUACCUAUAAGACUGGGAUAACUUCGGGAAACCGGAGCUAAUACCGGAUAAUAUAUUGAACCGCAUGGUUCAAUAGUGAAAGACGGUUUUGCUGUCACUUAUAGAUGGAUCCGCGCCGCAUUAGCUAGUUGGUAAGGUAACGGCUUAUCAAGGCAACGAUGCGUAGCCGACCUGAGAGGGUGAUCGGCCACACUGGAACUGAGACACGGUCCAGACUCCUACGGGAGGCAGCAGUAGGGAAUCUUCCGCAAUGGGCGAAAGCUUGACGGAGCAACGCCGCGUGAGUGAUGAAGGUCUUCGGAUCGUAAAACUCUGUUAUUAGGGAAGAACAAAUGUGUAAGUAACUAUGCACGUCUUGACGGUACCUAAUCAGAAAGCCACGGCUAACUACGUG
rnacentral:rRNA from 1 species